rnacentral:rRNA from 1 species
AUUGAACGCUGGCGGCAUGCCUUACACAUGCAAGUCGAACGGCAGCACGGGUGCUUGCACCUGGUGGCGAGUGGCGAACGGGUGAGUAAUACAUCGGAACAUGUCCUGUAGUGGGGGAUAGCCCGGCGAAAGCCGGAUUAAUACCGCAUACGAUCUACGGAUGAAAGCGGGGGACCUUCGGGCCUCGCGCUAUAGGGUUGGCCGAUGGCUGAUUAGCUAGUUGGUGGGGUAAAGGCCUACCAAGGCGACGAUCAGUAGCUGGUCUGAGAGGACGACCAGCCACAUGGGCACUGCGCCGCGCCUCAGCCCCCUGCGGGGGCACGCAGGGGGGAUUUUGGGACAAGGGGCGAAGGCUUGACCAAGCAGUGCCGCGUGGGGGAAGAGGGCCUCGGGUUUGUAAAGCAUUUUUGCCGGGAAAAAAACCCUUGCCCUUAAUAGGGUGGGGGGAUGCCGGUCCCGAAAAAAAAACCCCCGCCUACCUCCGUC